UUCUUUGGGGCGGGGUGCAAUUCCCCACCGGCAGUCAAAGUCUGCGACGGGCUUUUUGAAUAAAGGGCCUUUGAACGGGUGAAAUUCCCGUACCGACGGUACAGUCCGGAUGAGAAAAGA
rnacentral:ncRNA from 1 species